GCGCAGCAGGCGCGAAAACUCCGCAAUGCGCGAAAGCGUGACGGGGGAACCCCAAGUGCCGUUGGUCUUCUGAUCGACGGCUUUUGUGGAGUCUAGGAAGCUCCACGAGUAAGGGCUGGGUAAGUCGGGUGCCAGCCGCCGCGGUAAUACCCGCAGUCCAAGUGGUGGUCGCGAUUAUUGGGCCUAAAGCGCUCGUAGCCGGACUAGCAAGUCCAUUGUGAAAUCGGGCGGCCUAACCGUUCGGCUUGCAAGGGAUACUGCUGGCCUUGAGGCCGGAAGACGCCGAGGGUACUCUGGGGGUAGCGGUGAAAUGCUGUAAUCCUCGGGGGACCACCAGUGGCGAAGGCGCUCGGCGAGAACGGACCUGACGGUGAGGGGCGAAGGCUAGGGGAGCGAACGGGAUUAGAUACCCCGGUAGUCC
rnacentral:rRNA from 1 species